GUGUCAGCCGCCGCGGUAAGACAGAGGGUGCAAACGUUGUUCGGAAUUACUGGGCGUAAAGCGCGUGUAGGCUGCUCGGAAAGUCGGAUGUGAAAGCCCUGGGCUCAACCCAGGAAGUGCAUUCGAAACUCCCGAGCUUGAGUUUCGGAGAGGCAGGCGGAAUUCUCGGUGUAGAGGUGAAAUUCGUAGAUAUCGAGAGGAACACCGGUGGCGAAGGCGGCCUGCUGGACGAUGACUGACGCUGAGACGCGAAAGCGUGGGGAGCAAACAGGAUUAGAAACCCUCGUAGUCC
rnacentral:rRNA from 1 species